AUUGAACGCUGGCGGAAUGCUUUACACAUGCAAGUCGAACGGCAGCACGGGGGCAACCCUGGUGGCGAGUGGCGAACGGGUGAGUAAUACAUCGGAACGUGCCCAAUCGUGGGGGAUAACGUAGCGAAAGCUACGCUAAUACCGCAUACGAUCUACGGAUGAAAGCGGGGGAUCGCAAGACCUCGCGCGAAUGGAGCGGCCGAUGGCAGAUUAGGUAGUUGGUGGGGUAAAGGCUCACCAAGCCAACGAUCUGUAGCUGGUCUGAGAGGACGACCAGCCACACUGGGACUGAGACACGGCCCAGACUCCUACGGGAGGCAGCAGUGGGGAAUUUUGGACAAUGGGCGAAAGCCUGAUCCAGCCAUUCCGCGUGCAGGAUGAAGGCCUC
rnacentral:rRNA from 1 species